UACGUAGGGGGCAAGCGUUGUCCGGAAUUAUUGGGCGUAAAGGGCGCGUAGGCGGCCCGCUAAGUCGAACGUGAAAUCCCCGAGCUCAACUCGGGAACUGCGUCCGAUACUGGCGGGCUUGAAUCCGGGAGAGGGAUGCGGAAUUCCAGGUGUAGCGGUGAAAUGCGUAGAUAUCGAGAGGAACACCUGCGGCGAAGGCGGGUUGCUGGGCUGAUACUGACGCUGAGGCGCGAAAGCCGGGGGAGCAAACGGG
rnacentral:rRNA from 1 species